rnacentral:rRNA from 1 species
ACGGAGGUUGCAAGCGUUGUUCGGAAUAACUGGGCGUAAAGGGAGCGCAGGCGGUUCGGUUAGUCUGAAGUGAAAUCCCAGAGCUCAACUCUGGACCUGCUUCGGAUACUGCCGGGCUUGAGUACGUGAGAGGAGAGUGGAAUUCCAGGUGUAGCGGUGAAAUGCGUAGAUAUCUGGAGGAACACCAGUGGCGAAAGCGGCUCUCUGGCACGUUACUGACGCUGAGGCUCGAAAGCGUGGGGAGCAAACGG